AAAGGCUUGUGAGAAUCUGGUGGAUGCUGGACCUUGCUGCUGCUGCUACUGCUGUUUCCAGGGGCUGCAGAGCAUGGACUGUUAAAUCUUGCACUUCUUCUGAGUGAGACUGCAUUUCAGCAGUAUGAAAUAUAAGAGAAUUAUUCAGUGUUGAUGGCAAAAUCUCAAUGAUGAAGUUUAUCACUAAAAGAAAACAACCUAUGCUGUGAAAGCAGAGAUGCUCUAGAAUCUACAGGUCUUUUCCUAUGGGAAAAUAAGGGAAAAAAAAGACUCUCAUCAGAAUCAUUUAUUUACAGCAUUGAGACUAUGUUGAUUUCAAGGUCAUGUUUGUUGCAGCUUCAAAAGAUGCUGGCAAGGAACGAGCCACACUGGCCACUGCCAUCCAAAAGAGAAUUCUAAAAGGAAACAGUACAAAACAGAACAUCAAAACAAAACAGACAAACAACCUGGGAACCAUUAGGUUUUACACCAGAGUGAAACCCCAGAAGAGACAUUCUGCAGCUGGUGAACAGCCGGCCUCAUUUGUGAGCAAUCUGUUCCCAUCAGUGUCAGGGAUUCCA
rnacentral:sRNA from 1 species